rnacentral:rRNA from 1 species
AACGAACGCUGGCGGCAUGCCUAACACAUGCAAGUCGAACGAGACCUUCGGGUCUAGUGGCGCACGGGUGCGUAACGCGUGGGAACCUGCCCUUAGGUUCGGAAUAACUCCCCGAAAGGGGUGCUAAUACCGGAUAAUGUCUUCGGACCAAAGAUUUAUCGCCUUUGGUUGGGCCCGCGUUGGAUUAGCUCGUUGGUAGGGUAAAAGACUACCAAGGCGACGAUCCAUAGCUGGUCUGAGAGGCUGCUCAGCCACACUGGGACGGAGACACGGCCCAGACUCCUACGGGAGGCAGCAGUGGGGAAUAUUGGAAAAUGGGCGAAAGCCUGAUCCAGCAAUGCCGCGUGAGUGAUGAAGGCCUUAGGGUUGUAAAGCUCUUUUACCCGGGAUGAUAAUGACAGUACCGGGAGAAUAAGCUCCGGCUAACUCCGUG